AUUGAACGCUGGCGGCAUGCUUUACACAUGCAAGUCGGACGGCAGCACAGAGAAGCUUGCUUCUUGGGUGGCGAGUGGCGAACGGGUGAGUAACAUAUCGGAACGUACCGAGCAGUGGGGGAUAACUAAUCGAAAGAUUAGCUAAUACCGCAUAUUUUCUGAGGAAGAAAGCAGGGGACCUUUGGGCCUUGCGCUGUUUGGGCGGCCGAUAUCUGAUUAGCUAGUUGGUGGGGUAAAGGCCUACCAAGGCGACGAUCAGUAGCGGGUCUGAGAGGAUGACCCGCCACACUGGGACUGAGACACGGCCCAGACUCCUACGGGAGGCAGCAGUGGGGAAUUUUGGACAAUGGGCGCAAGCCUGAUCCAGCCAUGCCGCGUGUCUGAAGAAGGCCUUCGGGUUGUAAAGGACUUUUGUCAGGGAAGAAAAGGGCGGGGUUAAUACCCCUGUCUGAUGACGGUACCUGAAGAAUAAGCACCGGCUAACUACGUG
rnacentral:rRNA from 1 species